CAGCCGCUGCUGCUGCCGCUGCUGCUUUAGCGAUAAUAGUUGUAGUGGCGGCGGCGGCAGCAGCAGUUAAGGAGAGCGCGAGAAACCCCUCAGCAAACAGGAGCAGAUCCAUUCAUCUACACAGGAGUGCAGUAUGAUCCAAGAACCUUGUGCUAAUAUAUGAUUUGGCUUCAAAUGUUCCCUGAACUGAAUUUCUCCUCCAUCUCCAGUCAAGAGGUCUACACACUUGGGCAUACCUCUCCACCCAGGCAAACAAGAGAGAUUCCCAUAAUUCAAGGGGCAUCUC